rnacentral:rRNA from 1 species
AGCGAACGCUGGCGGCAUGCUUAACACAUGCAAGUCGCACGGGCAGCAAUGUCAGUGGCGGCCGGGUGAGUAACGCGUCGGAACGUGUCCUGAGGUGGGGGACAACCCCGGGAAACUGGGGCUAAUACCGCAUAUGGGCUGAGGCCCAAAGCCGAGAGGCGCCUUUGGAGCGGCCUGCGUCCGAUUAGGUAGUUGGUGGGGGAAAGGCAUACCAAGCCUGCGAUCGGUAGCUGGUCUGAGAGGACGACCAGCCACACUGGGACUGAGACACGGCCCAGACUGCUACGGGAGGGAGGAGUGGGGAAUAUUGGACAAUGAGCGAAAGCGUGAUCCAGCAGUGCCGGGUAGGUGAAGAAGGUCUUCGGAUCGUAAAGCCCUUUCGACGGGGACGAUGAUGACGGUACCCGUAGAAGAAGCCCCGGCUAACUUCGUG